rnacentral:lncRNA from 1 species
GUGUGCUUGGAUCGAUCAGAACCCAGGAGCGACCAGGAGCUCCUCUCCAAAACCCUAGUUCACUAAAAAUUGAUCAAUUGGAGGUUCAAUUCAGUCCCAAAUCGAAAUCUGAUCAUAGAUUCGUGAUCACCUCGUCAAAGGGAUCAUAAGAAGUGAUAUGAUGCAAGGAGUCCGGACCGUCAAGCGGACACGCCGAAGGGAAUACGCAUAGGAAAGGUGUGCUCUAAAGGUACGAAAUUUACUGUUUCGCUACAUUAUUUUAAUUGUUAGUCUUAUGUUGUUAUAUUGAAAUUUGGUAAACAAGAUACACCAAUAUGUCACGGAAGGGACAAAGUGCCUUAAGCAAGCAAAACGGGUCAAAACAUGAGUUAGAAAUAGAGUUUGGAUGUGUCUAGCAAUGGGGAUAUCCAUUCGGCACCCAAACAGGUCAAAACAAGUUGUGCUACAAAUCUAAAACUAAUAGCCAUCACUUUGAUUGGUUAUGUAUCAAGCAUAAGUUGUGUAACGAACACGCAAAUCCAUUGUAAAAACAUGAGCCCUUGUAGAGGGAUUAUAGUUCGGAACAUUUGUUUGCCAAUCGAUUCCGAAAAGCAUGAUUAAAUCCUUAGGAUUAAGCAUGAUAGUUAUGACAUGAGCGCUCUCGGGAGGGAAGCGAAAUUCAUAAUUGGUAAACAUGGAAAUGGGUAAAAUGGCCGAAUACAUGAGAUGACACAAAACAAGUUGUUGAACUUGUAAACAAACGGGUCAAAAUAAAGCAAAACGUAAACCGGGUAGCGGGAGCGUAAACUAUAUGAAUAAUGGAUCCGGGUAAUGGAUGAUAGCUUAGACAUAUCAAGAAACGAACCCCAAGCAAUUAAAAUGAGUUUGGAUAGGUUUGGAUGUAAAUUUGAUGAAAAAUAAACGUGCAGAGUUGACACGGGCGGGUGAACUUUUGACACGGCCGGGUGAAGGGGCUGUGAAAAAUAUAUGUUAAGCUGACACGGCCGGGUGAUCUUUUGACACGGCCGGGUGAAGGGGCUGAAAACAAAAUAUAUAAUUUCUUGUAUUUAAUUAUUUUGUUCAAAUGCCUUGAUUUCUAAUCUUUUAAAUGAAAUUGUAUGAUAGGUAAAGAUGCUCUUUAGACCCAGAGGAUGAUCAAGCCAUGUCAAGAACCGAACACACCGAACAAAGCUUCCGCAUUUUGUCUAUUUUGUUUUAGUGACAUGUAAACACUUGAAAUUAUGUUUUGAAAGUUUAUCUAGCAUGAUGUAGACUUGAAUGUUAUGAUCAAGUAUGAUCUUAAAACCAUGAAGUUUUUGUAAACUCGAAAAAUUUUGUACUAAAUGCAUGAUAAAUGUCAGAAAUCCUGUUAUU